UACGAUCACAUCACGCUGAAGCACCAGUCCCUGUACGAUCACCGAAGUUAAGCAACUUAUAGCCUGGUCAGUUCCUAAAUGGGUGACCGUUUGGGAAUACCAGGUACU